rnacentral:misc_RNA from 1 species
GAUGAAGAACGCAGCGAAAUGCGAUAAGUAGUGUGAAUUGCAGAAUUCAGUGAAUCAUCGAAUCUUUGAACGCACAUUGCGCCCUUUGGUAUUCCUUAGGGCAUGCCUGUUCGAGCGUCAUUUAAACCUUCAAGCUCAGCUUGGUGUUGGGUGACUGUCCGCUUCACCGCGGACUCGCCUCAAAAUUAUUGGCGGCCGGUACAUUGGCUCUCGAGCGCAGCAGAAACGCGUAACUCGAGGUCCUCGUGCUGGCUCCCAGAAGCUAUCUUCACAAUUUUGACCUCGGAUCAGGUAGGGAUACCCGCUGAACUUAAGCAUAUCAAUAAGCGGAGGA